rnacentral:rRNA from 1 species
CCUACGGGAGGCAGCAGUAAGGAAUAUUGGUCAAUGGACGAAAGUCUGAACCAGCCAUGCCGCGUGAAGGAUGAAGGCCCUCUGGGUUGUAAACUUCUUUUAUCUGGGACGAAAAAGCUCAUUCUUGAGCACUUGACGGUACCAGAGGAAUAAGCACCGGCUAACUCCGUGCCAGCAGCCGCGGUAAUACGGAGGGUGCAAGCGUUAUCCGGAUUCACUGGGUUUAAAGGGUGCGUAGGUGGGUCUGUAAGUCAGUGGUGAAAUCUCCGAGCUUAACUCGGAAACUGCCAUUGAUACUAUAGAUCUUGAAUCAUCUGGAGGUAAGCGGAAUAUGUCAUGUAGCGGUGAAAUGCUUAGAUAUGACAUAGAACACCAAUUGCGAAGGCAGCUUACUACGGGUGUAUUGACACUGAGGCACGAAAGCGUGGGGAUCAAACAGGAUUAGAUACCCUGUAGUCCACGCCCUAAACGAUGGAUACUCGACAUCAGCGAUACACUGUUGGUGUCUGAGCGAAGANAUAAGUAUCCACCGACGGAGACGACGACGAGUAGUAACGUAGAAGAAGUAGAGACGNGAGAGAGCGAGGACGACGACGAGGGAGAGG